UGGGGAAUAUUGCACAAUGGGGGAAACCCUGAUGCAGCGACGCCGCGUGAGCGAAGAAGGUUUUCGAAUCGUAAAGCUCUGUCCUAUGAGAAGAUAAUGACGGUAUCAUAGGAGGAAGCCCCGGCUAAAUACGUGCCAGCCGCCGCGGUAAUACGUAUGGGGCGAGCGUUGUCCGGAAUUAUUGGGCGUAAAGGGUACGUAGGCGGUCUAUUAAGUCAGGUGUGAAAGCGUGAGGCUUAACCUCAUUAAGCACUUGAAACUGAUAGACUUGAGUGAAGGAGAGGAAAGUGGAAUUCCUAGUGUAGCGGUGAAAUGCGUAGAUAUUAGGAGGAAUACCGGUGGCGAAGGCGACUUUCUGGACUUUUACUGACGCUCAGGUACGAAAGCGUGGGGAGCAAACAGG
rnacentral:rRNA from 1 species